GACGAACGCUGGCGGCGUGCUUAACGCAUGCAAGUCGAACGAUGAAGCCUAGCUUGCUAGGUGGAUUAGUGGCGAACGGGUGAGUAAUACGUGAGUGACCUACCUUUGACUCUGGGAUAAGCCUGGGAAACUGGGUCUAAUACCGGAUACGACCAAUCUCCGCAUGGGGUGUUGGUGGAAAGCGUUAUGGAGUGGUUUUAGAUGGGCUCACGGCCUAUCAGCUUGUUGGUGAGGUAAUGGCUUACCAAGGCGACGACGGGUAGCCGGCCUGAGAGGGUGACCGGCCACACUGGGACUGAGACACGGCCCAGACUCCUACGGGAGGCAGCAGUGGGGAAUAUUGCACAAUGGGCGCAAGCCUGAUGCAGCGACGCCGCGUGAGGGAUGACGGCCUUCGGGUUGUAAACCUCUGUUAGCAUCGAAGAAGCGAAAGUGACGGUAGGUGCAGAGAAAGCGCCGGCUAACUACGUG
rnacentral:rRNA from 1 species